rnacentral:sRNA from 4 species
AUAUCUCUCUGUACGGGAAGGAUGAGAAGCUUCGACUAAGGUUCGAUUCGAGCGCAGCGAGAAAGCGUUGCCAACGGCAACGACCCGAAGGGCGAAGCGCGCAGCGCUGAGUAAUCCUUCCCCCGUCAUCC